rnacentral:tRNA from 1 species
GCGGCUAUGGCGAAAUGGUAAACGCGCCGCGCUUAGAACGCGGUGGUCUUAGACUUUGUGGAUUCAAGUUCUACUAGCCGCA